GAAGUGCGAUAAGUAAUGUGAAUUGCAGGAAUCAGUGAAUCAUCAAAUCUUUGAACGCAUAUUGCGCCUAGGGUUAUCCUUAGGCAUGCUUGUUUGAGUGUCACUUUCUUAUUCAUACUUAUUCUUAAGUAUCGACUUUGGUUUUCACAUCUUAUCAUGUGUUAACUUAAAUUCAAGUACAGUAUUCAUAUCUUUGAGAUUAAACGAUUCGAAAUGUAGUGAGUUGUGCAAACAAAUUACUCUUUUCAUGUUUGAGAUCAGAUGUGAAAAUAUGACUGUAAUAAGAGUAAAUCAGUUUCUAACUGAUAAAAGAACAACUAAAAACCUGACCUCAAAUCAAGUAGCAUUACCCGCUGAAUUUAA
rnacentral:misc_RNA from 1 species